rnacentral:rRNA from 1 species
UACGUAGGGUGCGAGCGUUGUCCGGAAUUAUUGGGCGUAAAGAGCUUGUAGGCGGUUUGUCGCGUCUGCUGUGAAAAUCCGGGGCUCAACCCCGGACUUGCAGUGGGUACGGGCAGACUAGAGUGUGGUAGGGGAGACUGGAAUUCCUGGUGUAGCGGUGGAAUGCGCAGAUAUCAGGAGGAACACCGAUGGCGAAGGCAGGUCUCUGGGCCAAUACUGACGCUGAGGAGCGAAAGCGUGGGGAGCGAACAGG